rnacentral:rRNA from 1 species
UACGGGUUGCUCCAGUGGGGAAUAUUGCGCAAUGGGGGAAACCCUGACGCAGCGACGCCGCGUGUAGGAAGAAGGCCUUCGGGUCGUAAACUACUGUCAGGAGGGAAGAAACUGUUUGGGUAUAAUACGCCCAUUCACUGACGGUACCUCCAGAGGAAGCACCGGCUAACUCCGUGCCAGCAGCCGCGGUAAUACGGAGGGUGCGAGCGUUAAUCGGAAUCACUGGGCGUAAAGCGUGCGUAGGCUGCGCUGCAAGUCAGACGUGAAAGCCCUCGGCUCAACCGAGGAAUUGCGUUUGAAACUGCAGUGCUAGAGUCUCGGAGAGGUUGGCGGAAUUCCAGGUGUAGGAGUGAAAUCCGUAGAUAUCUGGAGGAACACCGGUGGCGAAGGCGGCCAACUGGACGAGUACUGACGCUGAGGUACGAAAGCGUGGGGAGCAAACAGGAUUAGAUACCCCGGUAGUC